CAUCUGCAGCGCCCAGCAGCAGCCCUGCGUCCCUGCAUGGAGCGGCCGCAGUUCCCCAGGCCCGGCAGCGGGACGCGGGCAGCCCGCAGCUCCGCUCCAGGGAUUCCUUCCGCUCCCAGCGCACCCUGACGCUUCCCCAGAGGAAAGGAAGCGGGGACGGCUUGGAUCUCCUCGCCGGGAACAGAGCCGCCGCCUCCGGGCUGGAGAAAGGCAGGCUGAAGGCCGGCUCCGAGCUGACCCUGCUGCCCCACGGCGAGGUUUGGGAGCGCAGCCAC